ensembl:lncRNA
AGCGUGUGCUGCCCGGUGCACACCCGCCUGCGGACCCGGGCCUUUGUGGACCUGCAGAGGCUGCGGUGCGGGAAGCGCACGGCUCCCCAUCUGCGCUUGUCUGGCAUCUGCCCCUCCUCGCUGCCCCGACUCCGGGUCUCCAGCACCUGACACCUGGACCCCUGCCCCAGCCUCUUCCGCUCCUGCCAGCCCUCCAGGCCCAUUCCCCAUACAGGUCGCAGAGGCUGCUUAACCACUGGCCUCUGGAAUUGACUAUGGCUCCCUAUUGAACCUGGAUUCAUGUCUUAACGUGGUCUGCUCCCAUGGUGGCUUGGCAUCAACUCAGCCACCUGUGACUCAAGCAGGCUCCGUUCCCAGACUGUCGCAUUGGCCUGAGGCCCAGAAACUGCAUCGCGGGAGGCUGCAGGCCAGGUACCCAAGGGACAAGAGGACGGAUCCUUUCCUGGCCUGCAGAGAUCCAAGAGGAGGACGUGGGGUCCCCUCCCUGGUGGUUCUCCAUCCCCAUGGGCAGCCCAGCCCCCACAGAGGAAUCACUGCUGUAGAGGCUGUGUAAUCUUGGGGCAGUCACUUUCCCUCUCUGAGCUUCUGUCUCCUGUGAAAUGAGGUUCUGGUAAUUGCCACCCAGGGCUCUUAGAGGAAAGUGUUUAUUGAGCACCUACUGUGUACCAGGUCAAGUGCCAGAAGGAGGAGAUGCAGCAGGGGGCUCGCCAUGGUCCUGGGGGAGCAGACCAGUGAGACAGUCAUGAAAGAGUGUGGUGGGAAACUCAGCAGAGAGCCGGUACCCAAUCUAGGGUGGGAGUCAGUCAUGCUCUUCCAAGGAAGGGGCUCUUGAGAUGAGUCCUGCAGGGGGGAGGGGUAACUGAUGUGGUGGCCAAGAUUGGAACCCACUUCCAAGCUGUGGAACUGUGGGAGACUCCCCUCCAGCCUCAGUUUCCACAUCUGUAAAAUGGAGACUCAAACUGUAUACCCAUCUUCUAGGAUUGAAAGGACUCCACUCCACAGGGGAAAACCAGGGCUCUCAGUGGCCCUGCCCAGCUCUCAUUCAUUGCUCCAGAAGCCUAGCUGAAGGUCAGGAUGAGGCCCUGGACGCUGCCCACCUCAGGACCUUUGCAUGGCUCUUCCCUCCACGGCAGCACCUUUCUCCCAGCCACCAUCCCGUCUCACCCCUUCCUGACUCAUGUCUCCACCCCUUGCCUCCUCUGUCCCCUCCCUGCCUCCUCGGCACUCUCCCCACUUAAGACACCAUGUAAUUU